UGAGCUUUGUUGGGACCCACAUUUAGUGCUAGCUCUCUGCACUGAAGAGGUAAAAUUUCUUCAUAGCAUGAGGAGUUUCAUCUCCUGGUCUGUCUAUCUAUGAAGCUGCACCACACAGACUGGCUUUGCUUGAGACCAUGGAGUAAGUGCAAGCUGAAUGCUAAUGAAAGGUGAAAGACUGGCAGAAGAGAGCCGUUCAGAGUGGCACUUCAUGUCUAAGCAGAGGGGUCUCCUUACGGAAAAUCAUUUAUUGCACCAGGAACAGAAGGAUGUAAGGAGGCUGAUGAACUGCAGAACCACAGGAAAUAUAUUCAACCCUUCUAGCAUCUGUGAAGACCACAUUACUCUUGAAUGCUUGCUUGCUACUCUGGGUGUGACUAGAAAAGGAGGGGCCAUUGAGAAGGAAGUGGAAGGAAGCUGGACAACCCCAAAGAGAACCAUAAACACAAACUUAUUUUCAAGACCAAAACCCAGCGGUGCAAGGAAACUUAUAUAAGAGAAAUGAUUGCAGCAAACAAACUCUCUGCCACCUGUUGUCUUAAAGAGAUGUGGCCAGUGUUGGCAGCUUUAAUGAAGGAGCUGAGCUUGUUCUUAGUAAUUUGAUAAGUUUUGAUAAAAUGGAAGUAUGUGAUUUAUCUCCCCAAACUGAGAGAAACCUAUCUCUUCCCAUAUAUUUUAAUAAGGUUUACUGUAGUGGGUAAAUAUGGAAUAACUUUAGCUGUACAAAGCAGUCUAUGAAGAAGCUGAGGGCCUGUUACUAACCCUCUCAUUCAAUAAGUCUUUGAAAUGUGCUUUAGCUCAAAUCUUAACAUUUGGGAUUUUGUUUCUACUUAUUAAGCUGUUUACUUGUUUCACUUUUGCUGGUUGUCUUAUAGCCAUGGAACUUUGCAAAGAGAAUUUUAACAAAAUUUUGUGCUAAAUACAGACACUGAAUCCAAAUGCCUAACGGUAAUUCCUCUGCACAUGUUUAUAUAGACAUAAAAAUGCAUUUAAUAAAGCUCGGUAUUGCUAUACGGAAACAUAUGUGUAUGGAUAGGAAAAAUAUAUGUACAAAAAUGUAUAAAUGUUAUAGCUACUUGCUCUUGGUAGUUAUUUUUUGAGAGAAAAGAGGUUUGGAAACAAUUAAAGGAUCCAUCCAAUAAAAUUUAAUUACUUCAUUUAGUUAGGUGGAGAUUUUUGCAAGAAAUAGGAGAACACACCUGACAACAGAAAACUGCAGUUUGACAUGGAGCACAGAACCCAUUUGUUUUAAUUUAUUAAGAUACAUGGGAAAAUGUGAGAAUAUUUUG